rnacentral:rRNA from 1 species
GAUUAAGUUAUUAAGGGCGCACGGUGGAUGCCUUGGCACUAGAAGCCGAUGAAGGACGUUACUAACGACGAUAUGCUUUGGGGAGCUGUAAGUAAGCUUUGAUCCAGAGAUUUCCGAAUGGGGAAACCCAGCAUGAGUUAUGUCAUGUUAUCGAUAUGUGAAUACAUAGCAUAUCAGAAGGCACACCCGGAGAACUGAAACAUCUUAGUACCCGGAGGAAGAGAAAGAAAAUUCGAUU